GCGGGCCCGGCACGGGAUCCCCCGCUCCUCCCUAAAUCCCCUGUGUACCUACGGAGCGAUAACCGAGCUCUGCUCCUCCCUAGGAAAACAACCGGAGCUUCCCACAGGAGCUGUUUGCAGACAACGCUGUAAUUCCGCUUCCCCGCACCGCUCCUUGUACCCAGCAAAUGUAAGGGCAGCCUAAAGCCAGAGGGCUGGGAUAAAAGUUGGAUUUCUCACUGUCCAGAGAAUGCUGCAGCUGCACACUGGCACGGACUUUGCUCCUCUGGGCUGGGAUUUCUAAGCAGCGGGAGGCUUUCCACGUGUGUUUGAGAAGGUCCCCAAGCACAGGAUCGCCUUCAUUUCCCGCAGGACUGGAUCCCCUCAGCCCCGCCAGUCAGUGGAUCUCCUCAGAAAACUCUGAGACAAGCUCCCCUCAUCCUCCCCAGCACAGGCUCCCCUUAGCCCCCCAAACACGGGAUCCCCAAGACUGGAUCCCUUCAGCUCUCUCUGGCCAAGCCCCCUCCAGCCCCUCCUCAGCGGGCACAGCCGGAGGGGCCAGGGUGCAGCAGCCUCCAUUCCCCCGUCCCUCCCUCCCUGCCUGCUGCGUGCUGCAGCCCGCCUUCCCCCCGCCCUGCCGCGCUCCCCCCGCUCGCCGCCCGCGGUGAUCCGCGCUGAGCUCACGGCCGCGCCUCACGACACCCCGGCUCGGCACGUCAGCCCCGCCAUCGCGUGAGAGCCGCCGCCCGCCGCCGCCCCCCCGCCCGCCGCCAUCACGCACGGCGGGAACAGCUGCCGGCACGGCGCGGCCAGACCCCGCUCCCAGACCCCGCUCCCAGCCAAGGCGGGCUCUCGCCAGCUCCUAUUAAUGCAGAUCUUAAUUAAUGACCCCCGCGGGGGGCGAGCCGCCCUUCACACGCAACACGCACUCCCCCCGUUCGCCCGCGUCUGGCGUGGAAGCACGAAGAGGUUAAAAUGGAGGCGGGGGCGUGAGGCGGCUGCCAAGGCGGGAUUAGCGCGGCUCGGAGCUCGGCACGCAACGCGGGACGGGGCACGGCGGCCACACGCGAGGGACCCGCGGUGACACGCGUGGCACCGCCGUGCAAAGCCGGGGGGAGAAGAAGGGCGCCAGGAGCCCGAACGGGCACACGGUGUCCUCCGUCUUCCCUCCGGCUUUGCAUCCCUCUGUUGAGACAGCACUUACCCAUUUUUCAUUCCCCCCCACCAUGCAAUUUUCCUUUUUUUCCAAUAAAGCUUUUGUUUCUGUCCCCUAAAAUUCACUACUUUCUUCAAUCCAACCCCCCUUUUCUCCCCUAUUCGUCUCCCAACCUUACUGAUGCUUCACCUCAGAGAUGGGUCGCGCAUAAAUUAAAGUCACCUAGGUUUU